UACGUAGGGGGCAAGCGUUGUCCGGAAUCAUUGGGCGUAAAGAGCGUGUAGGUGGCUCGGUAAGUCCGCUGUGAAAGUCCAGGGCUCAACCCUGGAAUGCCGGUGGAAACUGUCGAGCUAGAGUCCGGAAGAGGCGAGUGGAAUUCCUGGUGUAGCGGUGAAAUGCGUAGAUAUCGGAAGGAACACCUGUGGCGAAGGCGGCUCUCUGGGACGGUACUGACGCUGAGACGCGAAAGCGUGGGGAGCGAACAGG
rnacentral:rRNA from 1 species